CCUACGGGUGGCAGCAGUGGGGAAUAUUGCACAAUGGGGGAAACCCUGAUGCAGCGACGCCGCGUGAGUGAAGCAGUAUUUCGGUAUGUAAAGCUCUAUCAGCAGGGAAGAAAAUGACGGUACCUGACUAAUACUCCCCGGCUACCUCCGUGCCAGCCGCCGCGGUAAUACGUAGGGGGCAAGCGUUAUCCGGAUUUACUGGGUGUAAAGGGAGCGUAGGUGGGAUGGUAAGCCAGAAGUGAAAACCCGGGGGCCAACCCCGCGGAUUGCUUUUGAAACUAUCAGGCUGGAGUGCUGGAGGGGUAAGCGGAAUGCCUAGUGUAGCGGUGAAAUGCGUAGAUAUUAGGAGGAACACCGGUGGCGAAGGCGGUUUACUGGACAGAAACUGACACUGAGGCUCGAAAGCGUGGGGAGCAAACAGGAUUAGAUACCCCUGUAGUC
rnacentral:rRNA from 1 species